rnacentral:sRNA from 1 species
UUUCCCGUUCACUGUCUUUCUCUCUCCUCCUUCACGAUUUCUCACUCUCUCUGUCUCUCUCCUUCGAACUCACACGGACCACCACCAAAACCACCCUAAAUCUAUACCAACGUCAAGUUUGAGACCACCAUUGGAAUCCUGAGGACUUCACGAUCACGUUGGUAUCCAUUUCAGGACAAUCCAAGCUCAUAGUGAGCUUAGUGAGGUCCCAAGGAAGCUCGGAGUGCUUCGUUGGAAGUUUUUGGACGUAAGAACACGGAGAUCGACAAGUUCAAAGUUUGGCCGGAGCUUUCGAGGCUUAUUCCGGCGAAUCCCCGGCGAGUUAGGAGUCGAGUUUCCGGCGACCUCCGAGGCUUUCGAGGCAGUUUCCGGCCAAACCACGGCGAACUAGGUGUUGUGCAAGGCGGCGAUCGUCGUGACGCCUUGAUGUGUGGUGCUAGGGAGUUGUUGGAUGAACUCCAGGUUCAGGAAUCACAAAGGUGUGGUGACUACGAGGAAUUCGACGGUGUUCUGACAGAUUGGACAAAAUUAGGACUCACCUUCGGGUGUAUCAACUUAUAAAUUGUAUAAUUAAAGCUUCCG